rnacentral:tRNA from 1 species
UCCCUGGUGGUCCAGUGGCUAAGACUCUUUGUUCCCAAUGCAGGGGGCCUGGGUUCGAUCCCUGGUCAGGGAA